UGGGGAAUAUUGGGCAAUGGGGGAAACCCUGACCCAGCAACGCCGCGUGAAGGAUGAAGUAUUUCGGUAUGUAAACUUCGAAAGAAUAGGAAGAAUAAAUGACGGUACUAUUUAUAAGGUCCGGCUAACUACGUGCCAGCAGCCGCGGUAAUACGUAGGGACCAAGCGUUGUUCGGAUUUACUGGGCGUAAAGGGCGCGUAGGCGGCAUGACAAGUCACUUGUGAAAUCUCUGGGCUUAACCCAGAACGGCCAAGUGAUACUGUCGCGCUAGAGUGCAGAAGGGGCAAUCGGAAUUCUUGGUGUAGCGGUGAAAUGCGUAGAGAUCGGGAGGAAGGCCGGUGGCGAAGGCGGCGCUCUGGAACAUUUCUGACGCUGAGGCUCGAAAGCGUGGGGAGCAAACAGGAUUAGAUACCCAUGUAGUCCCUGAGCGGGCUGGCAAGGCGCAU
rnacentral:rRNA from 1 species